CUCAUAUCGUCCACUCUCUAAGGCUGACCUCCAGAUGUGCCGAUCUGUAACCUGUAAUGAAACCCAGUUUACCAACCCUGAAAUACAGGGAUAUGUUACCCCGAAGAGAUUCUGUCUUCAAUAUCCAAAAGAAAGUCCCUGAGCCUGAGCUCCAGCUGCCUCUCUGCAGACAUCUGUGCUGUGUCGCAUGUACUGGAAGAGCGUCCCCGAGAAGAAACAGGCUUGCUGUCAGCCUGAGGUUUGUCUGAAAUAACCAUCAAGCAUCUUUAUUAACACUUUCUCUGUAAAAACAUAACAUGAGCAGAGGUGCGGUGGUGAAUGCCUUUAACCCCAGCACUCGGGAGGCAGAAGCAGCAAGACCAGGACAGCCAGGGCUACACAGAGAAACCGUGUCUCAAAAAACCAAACCAAACCAACAACAACCCCCCCAAAA